AUUACUUCCUACUUCGCGUCAGGCUUCCCAGAAGUGAUUGAGGUCUUUCUUAACGAAUAGUAUGCCUUCUUACAAAAACAUAGAUGUGUCAUUUACCCUGAUUGGUCUAACCAUGCCUUUCCAAGGAUAGUGCGUCAUGACAAGGACCCACGUGUAGUUUCAUGCGCAUGUUGAUUACGCAGAGGUGAGACACGGCGCUGGUAAAGUCAGCGGCUUUGACGAGCGAUAUCUUUGCUUCUGACUAUAAUAUUGCUAUUUUUGCAUCAUGGCAAGACCACGAAGCAUGACUUUGGAGGAGAUUCACGCCUUCCUUGAUGUGGAGUCGGACUUCAACUUCGAGGAGAUUGGUGAUAGUGGUUCAGAGUCUGGCAGCGUGGACUCCGAGGUAGAGGAUGCAUUCGCGGAUGGAUGUCCUCCUUGACUUUGCUGAACCAUCUGCCCCUCUGUCUCGCUCCCACACCUCCAGUGACCCUUUGGAAGGGACCUCAGCUACAGCCCCACCUGUCAGGCCUCCAGCGUCUCCCCCCAUCGCCACUCCUGGUACCUCUGCCACUGGUCCCUCAGCCAGCACUAGUGCACCUCAGCAUCGUGCAAGAGGCCCAGCCUCCUAAAAUCCAACCCCCCGUCCUCGUCGUAGGAGGUGGUAACAGCACAUUGCAGAUAUCAUAUUUGCAACUGUUCUGGCUAACGGGGCUCUGGUGUGGACUGUUUUCUAACACUUCUACAUUUCCCCUAAAAGACAUAAGCUUAGUUUCAAUACAGUAUUUGGCAUUUGGAGAGGUAAGGAUCCUCCUUAUUGGUUAACUUGAAAUAAGUGUAAAUAUUAGCCUGAAAUGAAGUGAAAUUUAUAUUUACAAGGUCAAAACACAAAAAUACCACACACACAACCUGCUAUAUGGGGAAAAUCUUGUUUUUGUAUUUUGGAGAGCUUGGAGAGGUUAUGGACACUUGGAAACGCCUAUAUGCACCUAUUAGAAAUUGCUGUGUAGAACCUAUGUAAUUUUAUGCAUCUGCUUAAAAUUUUGGAGUUUGCUUCCUAAGAACAUGUAGAUACAGGAAAUGUAGUGUAUGACCUGCUGUUCUAACACACCAUCCAUGGACACACUGACAACUACAAAAAUAAUAGGCGUUUUUUACUUUUUUGACAUUUUCCUCUGUAUAUGAUGUUCUAAAAUGUAGACUUAAUGAAGGAAAUAAAGGUCUGGAGGUGAAUUAA